rnacentral:rRNA from 1 species
CGUAGGGUGCGAGCGUUAAUCGGAAUUACUGGGCGUAAAGCGUGCGCAGGCUGUUCUGUAAGUCAGAUGUGAAAUCCCCGAGCUCAACUUGGGAACUGCGUUUGAAACUACAGGACUAGAAUAUGUCAGAGGGGGGUAGAAUUCCACGUGUAGCAGUGAAAUGCGUAGAGAUGUGGAGGAAUACCAAUGGCGAAGGCAGCCCCCUGGGAUAAUAUUGACGCUCAUGCACGAAAGCGUGGGGAGCAAACAGGAUUAGAUACCCUGGUAGUCCACGCCCUAAACGAUGUCUACUAGUUGUUGGUGGAGUAAAAUCCAUGAGUAACGCAGCUAACGCGUGAAGUAGACCGCCUGGGGAGUACGGUCGCAAGAUUA